UAGGUUAGAAGUUGAAAAGUAUUAAGUUACGCUGUCCCAACGCGCCAAGCCCUGAAGGGAAGGUGUAAAGAGAUGUGGAGGUGAUAGUCCCACCUAACCUA
ncrna:unclassified sequences skipping-rope RNA